rnacentral:rRNA from 1 species
GACGAACGCUGGCGGCGUGCCUAAUACAUGCAAGUCGAACGCAGUGGGGACGGGUGAGUAACACGUGGGUAACCUCCCAUCAGAGGGGAUAAAACUUGGAAAAAGGUGCUAAACCCGCAACUGGUGGAUGGACCCGCGGGGCAUGAGCUGGUUGGGGAGGUAACGGCCCACCAGGGCCACGAUGCAUACCCGACCUGAGAGGGUGAUCGGCCACACGGGGACUGGGACACGGCCCAGACUCCUACGGGAGGCAGCAGUAGGGAAUCUUCGGCAAUGGACGAAAGUCUGACCGAGCAACGCCGCGUGAGUGAAGAAGGUUUGCGGAUCGUAAAACUCUGUUGUUAGAGAAGCGGUAUCUAACCAGAAAGCCACGGCUAACUACGUGCCAGCAGCCGCGGUAAU